rnacentral:rRNA from 1 species
GGGUGAGUAACACGUGGGUAACCUGCCCAUCAGAAGGGGAUAACACUUGGAAACAGGUGCUAAUACCGUAUAACAAUCGAAACCGCAUGGUUUUGAUUUGAAAGGCGCUUUCGGGUGUCGCUGAUGGAUGGACCCGCGGUGCAUUAGCUAGUUGGUGAGGUAACGGCUCACCAAGGCGACGAUGCAUAGCCGACCUGAGAGGGUGAUCGGCCACAUUGGGACUGAGACACGGCCCAAACUCCUACGGGAGGCAGCAGUAGGGAAUCUUCGGCAAUGGACGAAAGUCUGACCGAGCAACGCCGCGUGAGUGAAGAAGGUUUUCGGAUCGUAAAACUCUGUUGUUAGAGAAGAACAAGGAUGAGAGUAACUGUUCAUCCCUUGACGGUAUCUAACCAGAAAGCCACGGCUAACUACGUGCCAGCAGCCGCGGUAAUACGUAGGUGGCAAGCGUUGUCCGGAUUUAUUGGGCGUAAAGCGAGCGCAGGCGGUUUCUUAAGUCUGAUGUGAAAGCCCCCGGCUCAACCGGGGAGGGUCAUUGGAAACUGGGAGACUUGAGUGCAGAAGAGGAGAGUGGAAUUCCAUGUGUAGCGGUGAAAUGCGUAGAUAUAUGGAGGAACACCAGUGGCGAAGGCGGCUCUCUGGUCUGUAACUGACGCUGAGGCUCGAAAGCGUGGGGAGCAAACAGGAUUAGAUACCCUGGUAGUCCACGCCGUAAACGAUGAGUGCUAAGUGUUGGAGGGUUUCCGCCCUUCAGUGCUGCAGCUAACGCAUUAAGCACUCCGCCUGGGGAGUACGACCGCAAGGUUGAAACUCAAAGGAAUUGA